GACGAACGCUGGCGGCGUGCCUAAUACAUGCAAGUCGAGCGAAUCAAUGGGAGCUUGCUCCCUGAGAUUAGCGGCGGACGGGUGAGUAACACGUGGGUAACCUGCCUGUAAGACUGGGAUAACUUCGGGAAACCGGAGCUAAUACCGGAUACGUUCUUUUUUCGCAUGAGGAGAGAUGGAAAGAUGGUUCUGCUAUCACUUACAGAUGGACCCGCGGCGCAUUAGCUAGUUGGUGAGGUAACGGCUCACCAAGGCGACGAUGCGUAGCCGACCUGUGAGGGUGAUCGGCCACACUGGGACUCAGACACGGCCCAGACUCCUACGGGAGGCAGCAAUAGGGAAUCUUCCGCAAUGGACGAAAGUCUGACGGAGCAACGCCGCGUGAGCGAAGAAGGCCUUCGGGUCGUAAAGCUCUGUUGUUAGGGAAGAACAAGUACGAGAGUAACUGCUCGUACCUUGACGGUACCUAACCAGAAAGCCACGGCUAACUACGUGCCAGCCGCCGCGGUAA
rnacentral:rRNA from 1 species